GAUGAACGCUAGCGGCAGGCUUAACACAUGCAAGUCGAGGGGUAUAGGUUUUCGGACCUAGAGACCGGCGCACGGGUGCGUAACGCGUAUGCAAUCUACCUUUCACAGAGGGAUAGCCCAGAGAAAUUUGGAUUAAUACCUCAUAGUAUAGCAGUUUCGCAUGAAACCACUAUUAAAGUUCCAACGGUGAAAGAUGGGCAUGCGUCCCAUUAGCUAGAUGGUAAGGUAACGGCUUACCAUGGCAACGAUGGGUAGGGGUCCUGAGAGGGAGAUCCCCCACACUGGUACUGAGACACGGACCAGACUCCUACGGGAGGCAGCAGUGAGGAAUAUUGGUCAAUGGACGCAAGUCUGAACCAGCCAUGCCGCGUGCAGGAUGACGGUCCUAUGGAUUGUAUACUGCUUUUGUACGAGAAGAAACACUCCUUCGUGAAGGAGCUUGACGGUAUCGUAAGAAUAAGGAUCGGCUAACUCUGUGCCAGCCGCCGCCGUAAAAC
rnacentral:rRNA from 1 species